rnacentral:rRNA from 1 species
AACGAACGCUGGCGGCAGGCUUAACACAUGCAAGUCGAGCGAGACCUUCGGGUCUAGCGGCGGACGGGUGCGUAACGCGUGGGAACGUGCCCUUCUCUACGGAAUAGCCCCGGGAAACUGGGACUAAUACCGUAUACGCUCUUUGGGGGAAAGAUUUAUCGGAGUAGGAUCGGCCCGCGUUGGAUUAGGUAGUUGGUGGGGUAAUAGCCCACCAAGCCGACGAUCCAUAGCUGGUCUGAGAGGAUGAUCAGCCACACUGGGACUGAGACACGGCCCAGACUCCUACGGGAGGCAGCAGUGGGGAAUCUUAGACAAUGGGGGAAAGCCUGAUCCAGCCAUGCCGCGUGAGUGAUGAAGGCCUUAGGGUUGUAAAGCUCUUUUAGCUGGGAAGAUAAUGACGGUACCGGCAGAAUAAGCCCCGGCUAACUCCGUG